AUUGAACGCUGGCGGCAGGCCUAACACAUGCAAGUCGAACGGUAACAGGAAGAAGCUUGCUUCUUUGCUGACGAGUGGCGGACGGGUGAGUAAUGUCUGGGAAACUGCCUGAUGGAGGGGGAUAACUACUGGAAACGGUAGCUAAUACCGCAUAACGUCGCAAGACCAAAGAGGGGGACCUUCGGGCCUCUUGCCAUCGGAUGUGCCCAGAUGGGAUUAGCUAGUAGGUGGGGUAACGGCUCACCUAGGCGACGAUCCCUAGCUGGUCUGAGAGGAUGACCAGCCACACUGGAACUGAGACACGGUCCAGACUCCUACGGGAGGCAGCAGUGGGGAAUAUUGCACAAUGGGCGCAAGCCUGAUGCAGCCAUGCCGCGUGUAUGAAGAAGGCCUUCGGGUUGUAAAGUACUUUCAGCGGGGAGGAAGGGAGUAAAGUUAAUACCUUUGCUCAUUGACGUUACCCGCAGAAGAAGCACCGGCUAACUCCGUGCCAGCAGCCGCGGUAAUACGGAGGGUGCAAGCGUUAAUCGGAAUUACUGGGCGUAAAGCGCACGCAGGCGGUUUGUUAAGUCAGAUGUGAAAUCCCCGGGCUCAACCUGGGAACUGCAUCUGAUACUGGCAAGCUUGAGUCUCGUAGAGGGGGGUAGAAUUCCAGGUGUAGCGGUGAAAUGCGUAGAGAUCUGGAGGAAUACCGGUGGCGAAGGCGGCCCCCUGGACGAAGACUGACGCUCAGGUGCGAAAGCGUGGG
rnacentral:rRNA from 1 species